rnacentral:rRNA from 1 species
UUGGAUCCUGGCUAGGAGAACGCUAGCGGCUCCCUAACACAUGCAAGUCGAGGGGUAGGGUUACUUCGGUAGCCUGAGACCGGCGCACGGGUGCGUAACGCGUAUGCAAUCUACCUUUUGCUAUGGGAUAGCCCAGAGAAAUUUGGAUUAAUACCAUAUAGUAUAUUCGAAUGGCAUCGUUUGGAUAUUAAAGAUUUAUCGGUAAAAGAUGAGCAUGCGUCCCAUUAGUUAGUUGGUGUGGUAACGGCACACCAAGACGAUGAUGGGUAGGGGUCCUGAGAGGGAGAUCCCCCACACUGGUACUGAGACACGGACCAGACUCCUACGGGAGGCAGCAGUGAGGAAUAUUGGUCAAUGGAGGCAACUCUGAACCAGCCAUGCCGCGUGCAGGAUGACGGUCCUAUGGAUUGUAAACUGCUUUUGUACGGGAAGAAAACAAGCUACGAGUAGCUAAUUGACGGUACCGUAAGAAUAAGGAUCGGCUAACUCCGUGCCAGCAGCCGCGGUAAUACGGAGGAUCCAAGCGUUAUCCGGAAUCAUUGGGUUUAAGGGGUCCGUAGGCGGCCUUAUAAGUCAGUGGUGAAAGUUUUUGGCUUAACCAAAAAAUUGCCAUUGAUACUGUAGGGCUUGAAUGUCUGUGAAGUAACUAGAAUAUGUAGUGUAGCGGUGAAAUGCUUAGAUAUUACAUGGAAUACCGAUUGCGAAGGCAGGUUACUAACAGAUGAUUGACGCUGAUGGACGAAAGCGUGGGUAGCGAACAGGAUUAGAUACCCUGGUAGUCCACGCUGUAAACGAUGGAUACUAGCUGUUUGGUUUUCGGACUGAGUGGCUAAGCGUUGGUGAUAAGUAUCCCACAUGGGGAGCCCGGUUGC